rnacentral:sRNA from 1 species
GAUCCCGGAGGUCAACAUCCGCCAGCGCGUUGCGCCCGCGGAUGUGAUCGGU